GACGUAGGGUGCAAGCGUUUGUCCGGAUUUACUGGGCGUAAAGAGCGCGUAGGCGGUCCAUUAAGUGUGAAGCUAAAUCUCCCGGCUUAACCGGGAAACUAUUUCGCAUACUGAUGGGCUGGAGUGAUGCAGAGGUGGAUAGAAUUCCCGGUGUAACGGUGAAAUGUGUUGAUAUCGGGAGGAAUACCCGUGGCGAAGGCGGUCCACUGGGCAUCAACUGACGCUGAGGCGCGAAAGCGUGGGUAGCAAACAGG
rnacentral:rRNA from 1 species